rnacentral:rRNA from 1 species
CCGUAACUAUAACGGUCCUAAGGUAGCGAAAUUCCUUGUCGGGUAAGUUCCGACCCGCACGAAAGGCGUAACGAUUUGGGCACUGUCUCAACGAGGGACCCGGUGAAAUUGAAGUACCUGUGAAGAUGCAGGUUACCCGCGACUGGACAGAAAGACCCCAUGGAGCUUUACUGUAACCUGACAUUGGGUUUUGAUACAUUACGUACAGGAUAGGUGGGAGGCAUGGAAAGCUGGACGCUAGUCUGGCUGGAGCCGCCGUUGGGAUACCACCCUUGAUGUAUUGAAAUUCUAACCGCGAGAGUAACGAAAUCCGGGACAGUGUCAGGCGGGCAGUUUGACUGGGGCGGUCGCCUCCGAAAGAGUAACGGAGGCGCCCAAAGGUUCCCUCAGCGCGGACGGAAACCGCGCGAAGAGUGCAAAGGCAGAAGGGAGCUUGACUGCGAGACGGACAGGUCGAGCAGGGACGAAAGUCGGGCUUAGUGAUCCGGUGGUAGAGAGUGGAAUUGCCAUCGCUCAACGGAUAAAAGCUACCCUGGGGAUAACAGGCUAAUCUCUCCCAAGAGUCCAUAUCGACGGGGAGGUUUGGCACCUCGAUGUCGGCUCAUCACAUCCUGGGGCUGAAGUCGGUCCCAAGGGUUGGGCUGUUCGCCCAUUAAAGUGGUACGUGAGCUGGGUUCAGAACGUCGUGAGACAGUUCGGUCCCUAUCCAUCGCGGGCGUAAGAGAUUUGAAGGGAUCUGCUCCUAGUACGAGAGGACCGGAGUGGACGAACCGCUGGUGUACCAAUUAUUCCGCCAGGAGUACAGUUGGGUAGCUACGUUCGGAAAGGAUAAACGCUGAAAGCAUCUAAGCGUGAAACCAGCCUUAAGAUGAGAUCUCUCAUAGAGCAAUCUAGUAAGACACCUUAAAGAAGAUGAGGUUGAUAGGUCGGGAGUGUAAGUACAGCAAUGUAUUGAGCGGACCGAUACUAAUAUGUCGAGGGCUUGACUUA